CCACACACGAUCCAAGAUCGACACUUUAUUGUGAACUGUUAAAAAAAGUACGUAUUGAUGAUUGUGGAGACUCUCCCAGGAGGGUCGAAGCCGUCAACUUUAUGUAUUACUAUAAACACCAAAACCAAAACAAACAUGAAUUAUACAAUGGAACUGAAAAUGUUAAUAUAAGUUCGUCUUAUGUUAACGCUAGAUUAUUAAUUGUAAAA
rnacentral:misc_RNA from 1 species